rnacentral:rRNA from 1 species
ACUCCUACGGGAGGCAGCAGUGGGGAAUAUUGCACAAUGGGCGCAAGCCUGAUGCAGCGACGCCGCGUGGGGGAUGACGGCCUUCGGGUUGUAAACCUCUUUCACCAUCGGCGAAGCGGGGUGACGGUAGGUGGAGAAGAAGCACCGGCCAACUACGUGCCAGCAGCCGCGGUAAUACGUAGGGUGCGAGCGUUGUCCGGAAUUACUGGGCGUAAAGAGCUCGUAGGUGGUUUGUCGCGUUGUCCGUGAAAUUCCCUGGCUUAACUGGGGGCGUGCGGGCGAUACGGGCAGACUAGAGUACUGCAGGGGAGACUGGAAUUCCUGGUGUAGCGGUGGAAUGCGCAGAUAUCAGGAGGAACACCGGUGGCGAAGGCGGGUCUCUGGGCAGUAACUGACGCUGAGGAGCGAAAGCGUGGGGAGCGAACAGGAUUAGAUACCCUGGUAGUCCACGCCGUAAACGGUGGGUACUAGGUGUGGGUUUCCUUCCUUGGGAUCCGUGCCGUAGCUAACGCAUUAAGUACCCCGCCUGGGGAGUACGGCCGCAAGGCUAAAACUCAAAGAAAUUGACGGGGGCCCGCACAAGCGGCGGAGCAUGUGGAUUAAUUCGAUGCAACGCGAAGAACCUUACCUGGGUUUGACAUGCACAGGACGACGGUAGAGAUAUCGUUUCCUUGUGGCCUGUGUGCAGGUGGUGCAUGGCUGUCGUCAGCUCGUGUCGUGAGAUGUUGGGUUAAGUCCCGCAACGAGCGCAACCCUUAUUUCAUGUUGCCAGCGCGUAAUGGCGGGGACUCGUGAGAGACUGCCGGGGUCAACUCGGA